rnacentral:rRNA from 1 species
CGCGUAGGUGGUUUGGUAAGUCGGAUGUGAAAGCCCAGGGCUUAACCUUGGAAUUGCAUUCGAUACUGCUUAACUAGAGUAUGGUAGAGGGAAGUGGAAUUUCCGGUGUAGCGGUGAAAUGCGUAGAUAUCGGAAGGAACACCAGUGGCGAAGGCGACUUCCUGGGCCAAUACUGACGCUGAGGUGCGAAAGCGUGGGGAGCAAACA